UGCCGUUGUUCAUUCGCAGCACUGCUACAAAUGUUGAGAUUGAGUUGCCUGUUCCAGCCGAUGCUAUCAACCCAAAUGUUUGGACAUCAUUGGGAUCUGCUUCAUAUGCACCAGAAAAUGAUGCUUUGAUCUGGAAAAUUAAAUCUUUUCCUGGUGGUAAGGAAUAUAUGCUUAGAGCGGAGUAUACUCUUCCCAGUAUAACAUCUGAAGACGCAGCUCCUGAGAGAAAAGCUUCUAUACGUGUGAAGUUUGAGAUACCAUAUUUUGUUGUUUCAGGAAUCCAGGUUUCCCCUCUCAAAUACAAUUUUUUUUUUUAUUUUAAUUUUUUAUUGAAUAGAAAUUUCAGAUAUUGUUGCAUGUAUAUCUGCAAUGCUUCAUUCUUUCUGUGUCUGCUGUGUUUGCGUCUUUUUUUUCAUUUUUUUUAAUCUAUCUAGACAAAGGUGGAAUGGAUAAAACCAAACCUUGUGUUCCAAUCAGGAAUGAUAAACCAAAACCAAACCAAACUUUGUGUUCCAAUCAAGUGGGAGGAUUCAUACUUGAUGUGGUUGAACACUCAAAUCUGAUGCAGGAUAUCACUCCCUGUUACGUGCAUGUAGCCAUGCACCUACCAU